GCGGAGAUCGCAAAGUUUGGUAUUGCGCCGGCCUUGAAAGCCGGUGUCGCUUGACACGGGAGUUCGAAUCUCUCUCUCCGCG
rnacentral:tRNA from 2 species